UAGGGAAUCUUCCGCAAUGGACGCAAGUCUGACGGAGCAACGCCGCGUGAGUGAAGAAGGAUUUCGGUUCGUAAAACUCUGUUGUUAGAGAAGAACAGCGCAUAGAGUAACUGUUAUGCGUGUGACGGUAUCUAACCAGAAAGCCACGGCUAACUACGUGCCAGCAGCCGCGGUAAUACGUAGGUGGCAAGCGUUGUCCGGAUUUAUUGGGCGUAAAGCGAGCGCAGGCGGUCAAUUAAGUCUGAUGUGAAAGCCCCCGGCUCAACCGGGGAGGGUCAUUGGAAACUGGUUGACUUGAGUGCAGAAGAGGAGAGUGGAAUUCCAUGUGUAGCGGUGAAAUGCGUAGAUAUAUGGAGGAACACCUGUGGCGAAGGCGACUCUCUGGUCUGUAACUGACGCUGAGGCUCGAAAGCGUGGGUAGCAAACAGG
rnacentral:rRNA from 1 species